AAACUUUCAACARCGGAUCUCUUGGUUCUGGCAUCGAUGAAGAACGCAGCGAAAUGCGAUAAGUAGUGUGAAUUGCAGAAUUCAGUGAAUCAUCGAAUCUUUGAACGCACAUUGCGCCCCUUGGUAUCCCGAGGGGCAUGCCUGUUCGAGCGUCAUUU
rnacentral:rRNA from 1 species